AUUGAACGCUGGCGGCAGGCCUAACACAUGCAAGUCGAGCGAGCGGCGGACGGGUGAGUAAUGUAUGGGGACUGCGCGAUCGAGGGGGAUAACUACUGGAAACGGUGGCUAAUACUGCAUACUAUCGGAUAACCCAUAUGGGAUUAGCUAGUAGGUGGGGUAAAGGCUCACCUAGGCGACGAUCUAUAGCUGGGCUGAGAGGAUGAUCAGCCACACUGGGACUGAGACACGGCCCAGACUCCUACGGAGGCAGCAGUGGGGAAUAUUGCACAAUGGGCGCAAGCCUGAUGGAGCCAUGCCGCGUGUGUGAAGAAGGCCUUCGGGUUGUAAAGUACUUUCGGCAGAGAGGCGUUACCCGCAGAGGAAGCACCGGCUAACUCCGUGCCAGCAGCCGCGGUAAUUC
rnacentral:rRNA from 1 species